GACGAACGCUGGCGGCGUGCUUAACACAUGCAAGUCGAACGGAAAGGCCCUGCUUUUGUGCGGUGCUCGAGUGGCGAACGGGUGAGUAACACGUGAGUAACCUGCCCUUGACUUUGGGAUAACUUCAGGAAACUGGGGCUAAUACCGGAUAGGAGCUCCUGCUUCAUGGUGGGGGUUGGAAAGUUUCGGCGGUUGGGGAUGGACUCGCGGCUUAUCAGCUUGUUGGUGGGGUAGUGGCUUACCAAGGCUUUGACGGGUAGCCGGCCUGAGAGGGUGACCGGCCACAUUGGGACUGAGAUACGGCCCAGACUCCUACGGGAGGCAGCAGUGGGGAAUAUUGCACAAUGGGAGGAAGCCUGAUGCAGCAACGCCGCGUGCGGGAUGACGGCCUUCGGGUUGUAAACCGCUUUCGCCUGUGACGAAGCGUGAGUGACGGUAAUGGGUAAAGAAGCACCGGCUAACUACGUG
rnacentral:rRNA from 1 species